rnacentral:rRNA from 1 species
AUUGAACGCUGGCGGCAGGCCUAAUACAUGCAAGUCGAGCGGAGCGGCGGACGGGUGAGUAAUGACUAGGAAUCUGCCUGGUAGUGGGGGAUAACGUCCGGAAACGGGCGAUAAUACCGCAUACUAUUAGAUGAGCUUAGGUCGGAUUAGCCGGUUGGUGGGGUAAAGGCCUACAAAGGCGACGAUCCGUAACUGGUCUGAGAGGAUGAGCAGCCAAACUGGAACUGAGACACGGUCCAGACUCCUACGGGGGGCAGCGGUGGGGAAUAUUGGACAAUGGGCGAAAGCCUGAUCCAGCCAUGCCGCGUGUGUGAAGAAGGUCUUCGGAUUGUAAAGCACUUUAAGUUGGGAGGCGUUACCAACAGAAUAAGCACCGGCUAACUUCGUGCCAGCCGCCGCGGUAAUAC